UACGAAGGGGACUAGCGUUGUUCGGAAUUACUGGGCGUAAAGCGCACGUAGGCGGAUUUGUUAGUCAGGGGUGAAAUCCCGGGGCUCAACCUCGGAACUGCCUUUGAUACUGCAAAUCUCGAGUCCGAUAGAGGUGGGUGGAAUUCCUAGUGUAGAGGUGAAAUUCGUAGAUAUUCGCAAGAACACCAGUGGCGAAGGCGGCUCACUGGCCCGGUACUGACGCUGAGGUGCGAAAGCGUGGGGAGCAAACAGG
rnacentral:rRNA from 1 species